rnacentral:rRNA from 1 species
GUGGGGAAUAUUGCACAAUGGGCGAAAGCCUGAUGCAGCGACGCCGCGUGGGGGAUGACGGUCUUCGGAUUGUAAACCCCUUUCAGUAGGGACGAAGCGCAAGUGACGGUACCUGCAGAAGAAGCACCGGCUAACUACGUGCCAGCAGCCGCGGUAAUACGUAGGGUGCGAGCGUUGUCCGGAAUUACUGGGCGUAAAGAGCUCGUAGGCGGUUUGUCACGUCGUCUGUGAAAUCCCUCGGCUUAACCGGGGGCGUGCAGGCGAUACGGGCAGACUUGAGUACUACAGGGGAGACUGGAAUUCCUGGUGUAGCGGUGAAAUGCGCAGAUAUCAGGAGGAACACCGGUGGCGAAGGCGGGUCUCUGGGUAGUAACUGACGCUGAGGAGCGAAAGCAUGGGUAGCGAACAGG